rnacentral:lncRNA from 11 species
CAACAUCAUAAGGUCCCUAUGACCCUCAUUCCAUCUUCUGGAGAGAUCAUCACCAUGGUCCAAAGCCUUCUAAGGUUCAUUUGGUGGGAAAAUAAGAAGUAGGGCCUCUUUUGUGGCUGCUUCCAGGCUAGAACUCCUUCCCAUGGUGGCCCCAUCCUUACUCUCCUGGUCCAAACAUUUUGUGCCAUCAAGUUUUUGCCAACUGACUAAAGUUGAGCUUUUAAUGUUGUGUAGGUGUUUGCACAUUUUUUUCUCUCUUUCUUUCUCUGCAUGUUUGAAUGACAAGGUCUCAUCAGCGAUGUUUGUUGGUACUUAAUGGACAAUGUUUAAUAAUAUCACUAGGGGCUUGUCUUUAGGUCUAAGGUUUUGGCCUAGGAACCCAAGGGCCUUCAAAAUCCCAAGCUGGCAACUCUUUUGGGAAGUCACCAACUUUCCAGGUCCCACAAAGGAAAGUAGCUGUCAUGGCCCGAAGUCACAAAAGCUUCUGAAUCCAAGGCAGGGAUGAGGCAUUCAACUGCAGUUGAAGGACCAGCAUUUGGCUCCAUACAAGAGGCAGGUUCUGCAUGGGGUUGUGAUGUCCAUCCCACUAAACUGGAUCCUCCUGAAGGAUAGAGAUUGAGAGGCUCCCAGCUGUUGACCCCUGCAAGGCUGGACUCUCUGGUGAUGGGUUCGAAAAGUUCAUCUGGCUCAGAGGUCAAAGCAUCGAGAGACAAGGCCCAGCUGGGACUCGGGUCGGGAGCCACGAAUGCCUCCGCGAUGCCUGAGAAGGAACUGACAGCGGAGGGCAGUCGGACCAUCGGGGGCCGAGAGGGGCUUCUUUGCUGGAUUGCGGCAGGAGGGACACACGCUUCCUGGGAAAGGAUGGAGGAGGCUAAGCGAACUCAAGGCAGCAUGCACAGUUUCCUAGCAGAUUUCCCAUCCUGACACGAACUACACUCAGAUCUCAGGUUUCUGCACCAUGUUUGUUCAGACUGUGGCCUCGGAAUGGAAAUAAGGGUGGAGGAAGCUUCCCUUGAAUGCAUUUCUCUAUGCCAAUUCAGUCAUUGACAGCAAAUGAACAAACCAAGAACAAAAUGUUGGCAAUUCUAACCAGGGUUUGGAAAGUUACUUAUUGGACUCCAAAAAAGUGUGAUUUUCCAAAAGAGUAACUUCAGUGCCAAAGGUCAACUGGGGAUUAUGGCAGAUAUGAUCCAAAAAAGUGAUUGAAGGAUCAAAUAAAUCACUCC